GUGUGGGGAGGUGGACGUGGCAGGGGCAGCUCAACUCCAAACGGAGCGGACGUGACGUGGACAACGUGGUGCUGCGUGGGUAACGAGGAUGGGCGGCCCAACAGCAAUCGAGUGGACGUGGGCUGGCAGCACGGUGACAGACGGGGUGGAUGUGAUGUGGAAAACAAUGAUAAAGGGGGUGGAUAUGGCAUGGAAAACCCAGUGAUAAAUGGGGUGGAUGUGAUGUGGGACCCAGUGCCAAAUGGGUGGAGGUGGCAGGAAUAAGGCAGUGACAAAUGGGGUGGAAAUGGCAUGGAAAACCUAAUGCCAAAUGAGGUGGACAUGAUGUGGAACCCAAUGAUAAAUGGGGUGGAUAUGGCAUGGAAAACCCAAUGAUAAAUGGGGUGGACAUGGCAUGGAAACCCAAUGACAAAUGGGUGGAAAUGGUAGAAACAACCCAGUGCCAAAUGGGGUGGACAUGGCAGGAACAACCCAAUGCCAAAUGGGUGGACAUGGCAGGAACGACCCAGUGCCAAAUGGGUGGACAUGGUGUGGAACCCAAUGAUAAAUGGGGUGGAUGUGGCAGGAGCAACCUAGUGCCAAAUGGGGUGGAUAUGGCAUGGACAACACAGUGGGAAAUGGGGUGGACAUGAUGUGUAACCCAGUGCCAAAUGGGUGGACGUGGCAUGGAAAACCUAAUGCUAAAUGAGUGGACAUGGUGUGGCAACCUAAUUCCAAAUGGGUGGACAUGGUAGGAACAACCCAGUGCCAAAUGGGGUGGGCAUGGCGUGGAACCCAAUGAUAAAUGGGGUGGACAUGAUGGGGCAAUCCAUGACAAAUGGGGUGGAUGUGGUAGGAAUAACCCAAUGCCAAAUGGGGUGGACAUGAUGUGGAACCCAAUGAUAAAUGGGUGGACAUGGCAUGGAAAACACAAUGCCAAAUGGGUGGACAUGGUAGGAAUGACCCAAUAAUAAAUGGGGUGGACAUGAAUGGGGCAACCUGGUGCCAAAUGGGGUGGACAUGGUGUGGCAACGUAAUUCCAAAUGGGUGGACAUGGAUGGAAAACCCAGUGACAAAUGAGGUGGACAUGGCAGGAACAACACAAUGGGAAAUGGGGUGGACAUGGUGUGGAACCCAGUGCCAAAUGGGUGGACAUGGUAGGAACGACCCAAUGAUAAAUGGGGUGGACAUGAUGGGGCAACCCGGUGCCAAAUGAGACGGA